AUACUUUUUUUUCCACUGGGAGCAUACUACGUACACAAAACCUGCUUAGAAUUAGAAUCCUGUAUGGAUUUGGGACAUAGAAACGAAUGUAAAGCUAGGGGAUCUAAAGAGGGGUUUCACUUACUCUGUCAGGGGUCCGUGGGCCUUGUUCUUGAGCUCUCUGUACUCCCUCCAGUGGGGCAUGUCCGUCCGUACUGGGUGUCUCCCCUCCUGCCUCAGAACCUGCUCUAUGAGAUCAGCGCUGGCCACGUUCACCACGACCAGAGGGCCAUAUGAUGACUUCCACAGAGGACCGUAGAUCUUGCUGUGCUCAAUCUUUGAGCAAACAAUAAAGUGGUGUGGACCUUGCCACACAACAUUGUUCCUCAGGGGGGCAGUGGGAGUUCUAUACACCGGCACAUUCUCCAGGCGCUCUGAAGAAGGAGAGAUGGCCGAGAGACAGCAAAAGAGGAAAAUGUCUGAAAAGAAUAAACAGAGAAGAAAGUUAUAUAACCAGGCAAGGAUGAAGGCAUUUUAAUGCUGGAGAAACCUCAGAGAUUUUGGUGUCUAAAAUAAUAAAUCAUUUUGUCUUAUGUCAUCA